GCCCCAUUACCACGCUGGGCUAGAUGUCGCGCUCCGUGGACGUUAACAGGCAGCGGGGCCUGGGGAGCAGAGGCGAGGCCGUUUUGACAAUGGGAUGACAAAGAGCAGAUCCCGGGCUUGAAAGGUCCAUGGAGGGAGAGAGGAUGUGCAGAUCAAAUAAGAAAGAAGGAGGUCUGAGGGAAAAACACCAAUGAAAUACAUGUGACGACACCGAAGGCAUCACAGAUUAACGCCAGCGAAAUGAGCCACAGGCACCUGAUCUCCCAGCUUUGGCCAGAACCUCCUAGAAACUCACCAGCUCUCUACUGUUCCUUGCUUGGCAGUCUCUCUCAGCUGUACCUGCGUAACAGAAGGAGACACAACUGGGGAUUUUGCUUUUGUUUUGUAGUUUGUUUGUUGUUUAUUUGUUUGCUCUGAGUAGUUUUACUCUGGUCUGAACAGGGAGAAGGCACUCUGUGUAUUUUUGGUUUUCGGCAGGGCGCUGGUCUAAACAGUUUAUUUUCUAAAAUAUAUCUAUCUGUCAAUUA